rnacentral:rRNA from 1 species
GACGUAGGGCGCGAGCGUUGUCCGGAUUUAUUGGGCGUAAAGAGCUCGUAGGCGGUUUGUCGCGUCUGCUGUGAAAACCCGAGGCUCAACCUCGGGCCUGCAGUGGGUACGGGCAGACUAGAGUGCGGUAGGGGAGAUUGGAAUUCCUGGUGUAGCGGUGAAAUGCGCAGAGAUCGGGAGGAACACCCGUAGCGAAGGCGGCACUCUGGGCCGGUACUGACGCUGAGGAGCGAAAGCGUGGGGAGCAAACAGG